UACGUAGGGUGCGAGCGUUGUCCGGAAUUACUGGGCGUAAAGAGCUCGUAGGUGGUUUGUCGCGUUGUCCGUGAAAACUCACAACUCAAUUGUGGGCGUGCGGGCGAUACGGGCAGACUGGAGUACUGCAGGGGAGACUGGAAUUCCUGGUGUAGCGGUGGAAUGCGCAGAUAUCAGGAAGAACACCCGUGGCGAAGGCGGCUCUCUGGGACGGUACUGACGGCUGAGACGCGAAAGCGUGGGGAGCGAACAGG
rnacentral:rRNA from 1 species